rnacentral:SRP_RNA from 1 species
CGUGGGGUUCCGCGCGUUGGUGCGCCGUGAACCAGGUCAGGCGGGGAACUGAGCAGCCUUAAGCGGAAAGCGCCGGGCGACGCGGUCAGCCUUACGGCG